ACCGGUAGCUCAGUUGGUAGAGCGCAACACUUUUAAUGUUGAUGUCGUGGGUUCGAGCCCCACCCGGU
rnacentral:tRNA from 1 species